UGCCAAAACAUACACUUGCCAAUAUUUUGAAGGAUUGGGCUUGACACUAUUAAGUAUAUUAAUAAAAUAUGAACCUCAUUGCUUAUCAAAUAUAGUAAAUUAUGAGAAUCCAUAUUAGUACAAACAGAAGAAACUUUGGAUUUCAAUCUCGAAGAGAGUUGCUGGCAUUUAAAUGAUUUUUAGUCAAAUGCAAGCAGAAGAAAAUUUCUCGCUGUAUUCACUUUAAUGAUCCGAGGACAAAAACGAGUCCCAAUUGUAAGUUGCUCUUCAUAACGAAGAAAUUUGAGUAUGAAUAACCAUUACGGUUAGAAAAAAACAAGGAAGGAAACUUAUUAUUUGAUUAAGAAAUCAACAGCUUACAACAUUGCAGAUUCUCAUGCAACCCCAUUUUCAUAACGCUUUUAGGAAAGCUUGAAAACACUUUCGAAUCCAGCAUGAUCUAAUAAAAUGUUAACAGGCAAUUAAUCGGAAGAUUCAUUAGGUCAGUGUUUCCGGGGUAAUAGUUUAGAAAUAUUUAAGGCCGGACUACUUCCAAAGGGUUGUUUUGGAUAAUUGAUUAAAAGUGAUCUAACCAACUUUUUAAAAACAAUACCCAUAUUCGUUUCUUGGACAUUUUAGCCGAAAAGUGCUUUUUAAAAACCUUCAUAAGCUUAUAUCUUGUGCCUGUUUUUACUCUUCCAAGUAGGAUGUAUUUUUUUCUCUGUAAAAGUGAUUGAAAAAUUAU